rnacentral:rRNA from 1 species
UGGGGAAUUUUCCGCAAUGGGCGCAAGCCUGACGGAGCAAUACCGCGUGAGGGAGGAAGGCUUUUGGGUUGUAAACCUCUUUUCUCAAGGAAGAAGCACUGACGGUACUUGAGGAAUCAGCAUCGGCUAACUCCGUGCCAGCAGCCGCGGUAAUACGGAGGAUGCAAGCGUUAUUCGGAAUUAUUGGGCGUAAAGCGUCCGCAGGUGGUGCCUCAAGUCUGCUGUCAAAGACCGAAGCUCAACUUCGGGCAGGCAGUGGAAACUGAAGCACUAGAGUACGGUAGGGGUAGAGGGAAUUUCCAGUGUAGCGGUGAAAUGCGUAGAGAUUGGAAAGAACACCAGUGGCGAAGGCGGCUCACUGGCUCGAUACUGACGCUGAGGUGCGAAAGUGUGGGGAGCAAACAGGAUUAGAUACCCCCGUAGUCC